rnacentral:rRNA from 1 species
UUCCAGACUCCUACGGGAGGCAGCAGUGAGGAAUAUUGGUCAAUGGGCGCGAGCCUGAACCAGCCAAGUCGCGUGAGGGAUGAAGGAUCUAUGGUUCGUAAACCUCUUUUAUAAGGGAAUAAAGUGCGGGACGCGUCCCGCUUCGCAUGUACCUUAUGAAUAAGGAUCGGCUAACUCCGUGCCGGCAGCCGCGGUAAUACGGAGGAUCCGAGCGUUAUCCGGAUUUAUUGGGUUUAAAGGGUGCGCAGGCGGAGGUGCAAGUCAGCGGUCAAAUUGCGGGGCUCAACCCCGUACUGCCGUUGAAACUGCAUCCCUUGAGUGCGCGAGAAGUAUGCGGAAUGCGUGGUGUAGCGGUGAAAUGCAUAGAUAUCACGCAGAACUCCGAUUGCGAAGGCAGCAUACCGGCGCGCAACUGACGCUCAUGCACGAAAGCGUGGGUAUCGAACAGGAUUAGAUACCCGUGUAC